ACAAUGGUGUCUUUAGACACCACCACUACUUUGAUACCAAGUUGG
rfam:Picea glauca, whole genome shotgun sequence.